rnacentral:rRNA from 1 species
AUGAGGUGCUACAAGGCACGAAGCAACAAGAAGGGAAAAGGUGUUGCGCCUGUCGUUCCGGAACGAAAGAGAGGUAUCAUUGUCAAGACGGAAUGCCCUGUCCGGUGUAAGCUAAACGUAGAUGGAGCACGGUGGGUGGUCACUGAAUAUUUUGACGAGCACAACCACGAACUCAUAAAGAAGUUUGACCUGGUAAAAUUUCUGACCGCCCACAGAGAUUCACCCCCCAUCGAGAAGAAAUUCAUAAAGCUGCUACAUGAUUGUAAAGUCGGUCCAUCAAGAAUGGUCCAGAUACUGUCCCUCGUCCACAGCAAAAAUGGGACUCUGAGUAGCAUGCCCUACAUACCAGCAGACGUCACAAACCUAAAGGAAAAGUACCAUAGAGAGAGCGGGUUGGCUGACAUAGAAGACACGAUAGCCUACUUCAAUGAGAAAGCCAAAGAAGAUCCGGAUUUCUUCUACAGGAUAAGAUUGGACGAUGAGGACCGUGUCAGGAACAUGUAUUGGGUGGAUGGUGCUGCAAGAAGAGCCUACAAAUAUUUUCGAGAUUGCAUUUCAUUCGACGCAACAUAUCUCACUAAUAUGUACAAGAUGCCAUGUGCUCCAUUCAUAGGAAUAAAUAACCGCAAUUAGUCAUUGCAGUUCGGAUGCGGGCUUGUUCGGAACGAAGACGCGGAUGGGUACACUUGGCUGUUCAAGACCUUCUUGGAGUGCAUGGGUGAACUUGCUCCGAUGAACAUAAUAACAGACCAGGAUUUUAGCAUGCGUGCAGGCAUAGAGGAGGUCUUUCCGUUGGCAGUGCACAGGCACUACAGGUGGCACAUUAUAAAGAAGUUUGAGGAGACGCUAGAUUUUGAACGGAGCUGGAUGGCUAUGAUUGAAACAUAUCAAGUCCAAGAGAACGAGACGCUUGCUAGCCUGUGGGAGAAGCGAAUGUACUGGGUGCCGGCCUACUUCAUGCAGUGCUUCUUCCCAUUUCUGCAGACUAGACAGCGCAGCGAGGGGUUCAAUGCUGCUUUGAAGCGGUACGUGAGCCCUGGCAACUCAUUGCUGCAGCUUGCCGAGCAAUACACUGCUUUGCAACAGAAAAUGUUGGGAUCUGAGCUACAGCAAGAAGCAAACACCGCGCUCAAGCAGCCUAAAUUGCUGACAUAUUUACCAAUGGAGAGGCAGAUGAGCAAGACAUGCAUGUCGGAUUCAGAACCUGAAGACCCAGACAAAGGGAGGAACUACUUUGUGAAGGCCUUGAUAAGUGAAGGCGAAUACUACUGCCAAUGCUGCAAAUUCGAACGGGGCGGUAUUGUGUGCUGUCACAUACUAAAAAUAAUGGACAUGAACGCGGAGAGACCAGAGUCAACCAUGGAAGCCGUGAGGCACGUUGUGUUGACAAAGAACUUUGCUGAGCUAAUAGAUGAAGCGUGCAAGAGUGAUGAGACAGCGAGGGUUGCAGAAAAACACAUGAAGGCCUUGAAAAGAGGGCUUGAUGAGAUCAAGAAGAGGAGAGCUAAGGAAGCCUUACACAGGUUCCCCCACACCUCAAGUGUGCCUUCGUCCACGGGGCCAUCAUCUAAAAACUCGGAGGUAAGAUCUGGAACAGCAAGCACACAAACCCAGGUCAGGAACCCGCCCCGUUCCAUCACAAAGGGGCGUCCAAAAGAGAUAAGAUACAAAUCGGGAUUGGAGAUUCAAGCAAAUUAA